rnacentral:rRNA from 1 species
GUUGAACGCUGGCGGAAUGCUUUACACAUGCAAGUCGAACGGCAGCACGGACUUCGGUCUGGUGGCGAGUGGCGAACGGGUGAGUAAUGUAUCGGAACGUGCCCAGUCGUGGGGGAUAACGUAGUGAAAAUUACGCUAAUACCGCAUACGAUCUAUGGAUGAAAGCGGGGGAUCGCAAGAACUCGCGCGAUUGGAGCGGCCGAUAUCAGAUUAGGUAGUUGGUGGGGUAAAGGCCCACCAAGCCAACGAUCAGUAGCUGGUCUGAGAGGACGACCAGCCAAACUGGAACUGAGACACGGUCCAGACUCCUACGGCAGGAAGCAGUGGGUAAUUUUGGACCAUGGGCGAAAGCCGUAUCCAGCCAUUCCGCGUGCAGGAUGAAGGCCCUCGGGUUGUAAACUGCUUUUGUACAGAACGAAAAGGUUUCUACUAAUACUAGGAGCUCAUGACGGUACUGUAAGAAUAAGCACCGGCUAACUACGUGCCAGCCGCCGCAGUAA